rnacentral:rRNA from 1 species
UACGUGAGGGUGCAAGCGUUAUCCGGAAUUAUUGGGCGUAAAGGGCUCGUAGGCGGUUUGUCGCGUCGGGAGUGAAAUCCACUGGCUUAACUGGUGGCUUGCUUUCGAUACGGGCAGACUGGAGGUAUGCAGGGGGAGAACGGAAUUCCUGGUGUAGCGGUGAAAUGCGCAGAUAUCAGGAGGAACACCGGUGGCGAAGGCGGUUCUCUGGGCAUGUCCUGACGCUGAGGAGCGAAAGUGUGGGGAGCGAACAGG